CCUACGGGAGGCAGCAGUGGGGAAUCUUGCGCAAUGGGCGAAAGCCUGACGCAGCCAUGCCGCGUGGAUGAUGAAGGUCUUAGGGAUUGUAAAAUCCUUUCACCGGUGAAGAUAAUGACUGUAGCCGGAGAAGAAGCCCCGGCUAACUUCGUGCCAGCAGCCGCGGUAAUACGAAGGGGGCUAGCGUUGCUCGGAAUUACUGGGCGUAAAGGGAGCGUAGGCGGACAUUUAAGUCAGAGGUGAAAUCCCGGAGCGUUAACUUCGGAACUGCCUUUGAUACUGGGUGUCUUGAGUGUGAGAGAGGUAUGUGGAACUCCGAGUGUAGAGGUGAAAUUCGUAGAUAUUCGGAAGAACACCAGUGGCGAAGGCGACAUACUGGCUCAUUACUGACGCUGAGGCUCGAAAGCGUGGGGAGCAAACAGGAUUAGAUACCCUGGUAGUCCACGCCGUAAACGAUGAUUGCUAGUUGUCGGGAAGCUUGCUUCUCGGUGACGCAGCUAACGCAUUAAGCAAUCCGCCUGGGGAGUACGGUGCAAGAUUAAAACUCAAAGGAUUGACGG
rnacentral:rRNA from 1 species